CUUCUCUUGUGCGGUGGGGCCCGCGCGGCCCCAACGGGCGCCGCUCAUCCCUCGGCCUCCGGCCCCGGCCCCGGCCCCGGGACCGCCGCCGCCGCCGCCACUCGCCAUAUUGGAACUAGGCGCAGAGAGUAACCCCGCCCCCGGGUCACGUCAGCGCGCGGUCGUGACAUCAGCGCGCAAGGGCCGCCCCGGGGCGGGGCACAGCUGCGGAAUUCGGACGGAUGGGUGAGAGUUUGACUAUAACCCUGUCACCGCCCUCUGAUAUGAGGCUGAUACGAGGCGAUGACUCCGCCCUCUUCUCUUCAGGGAAGGUCCUUCAUCUGGGCAAGUCAUUUUUUUAUUAGCAAUCACUCGAUUAUACAAAUAGCACAGAACCCCAGCCAAAGGAGAAUUAAGGAAGACCUGAAUUCAAAUUCGGUCUCAGAUGUUUACCUGCUGUGUGAACCUCUCCCCAAAUUGCUUGACAUUGUUUUCUCAUCUGUAAAAUGGGGAUAAUUAGUCAACUUACAUCUCAAGAUUGUUGUCAAGGUAAUAUAUGAGAGAAAGGGCAAGCUAGGUGGCACAGUGGAUACAGUGCCAGGUCUGGAGACAGUGGGGGUGGGGAUGUCCUGGGUUCAAAUGUGACUUCAGACAUUUCUGGGCAAAUCACUUUAAACCUAGUUUUUAGCCCUUACUGCUCUUCUGGCUUAGAAUUGAUACUAAGACAGAAGGUAAGGGUUAAAUAUAUAUAUAUAUUUAUAUAAUGAGAUAAUAUAUAAAGCAAGCACUAUACAGUUGCUAGCUAGUCACAGGACUUAAUAUAUACUGGUUAAGAUAAAUUCAAUGAGUUUUCAUUGUCUACUAUGUACUAUCCAGCUUGGCAUAGUGGAGAGUUGCCUUCCAGUUAGGUAGACCUGGAUUCAAGUUAUGCCUCUAAUUUAUACUGUAUGUGACAAGUCACUUAUAAUCUCUCUGUGCCAUUGCUACCAACUCUGCCACCACCCCUGCAAUUCAUGGAUCCCUUUGGUAGUCUGGUGAAGUCAAUGAACCCCUUCUUAAAACAAUGUUUUUAAAUAAUUGCUAAUAAAUAAAUGCUAAAUUAAAAUUAAUGAAAACAGAUAUGAAAUGAAUGAAAAUAAAGAUGCAUUUUGUUUUCUCCAUUCCAGUUCAUAAAAUGAAUUUAGGAACCCCCUGAAAUUAAUCCGGAUAUUUGUGAAAACCCUGCUCUAAGACUCUUGCAAGUAUUCAUCUGCAUUGAAAAUAUAAUUGGAAAGCUUUUGGACAGACAAUAUUCUGAUCAGCAGAAGAAUAUGAACUUCUCUCUAAGCAGAAACAUUAAGAUAUGUUAUAUGUUAAUAAAUUUUCUCUAACUGGAAAUAAUAAUAGGAGGACUGGGGUGUUAUUAGUAUAGGAACUUCCCUGGUGAGAAAAUUCCCUGUACUUUCUCUGCUAGUUAUAGUUUUAGAGCAGUCCUAGAGCAGCAGUUCUUAGAAUGUGGUCCAGACCCCCCAAAGGAUCUCUGAGACACUUUCAGGAAGUCCUCAAGGUCAAAAACUAUUUUUAUAAUAAUAAAUGUUUAAGGUGUUUUAAUUUCUGACACACUAAACAUCAAUAAAUAUAACCCACAAUAACAAAAUUCUUGAAGAGACUCUUUAAAAAUUUAAGAAUAUAAAGAAGUCCUGAGACCAAAGAGUUUGAGAAUCAUUGGCCUAGAGCACUGAAAAGUUGUCAGUCAAUCAGUGAAUAUUUAUUAAGUGCCUAAUAUGUGCCAGGCACUUUGCUAAGUGCUCAACAGAUACUAUUUCAUUUGAUUUUCACAAUAACUCUAUGAGGUAGGCAUUAUUAUGAUACCCAUUUACCAAUAAGAAAACUGAGACCAACCAUGGUUAAGUGAUUUGCCCAAAGAUCACACAACUAAGAUGUAUGUGAGUCAGGAUUUAAAUUCAGAUCUUCCUGAUUUCGGGUCCAGCCCUCUAUUCACUGUGCCACCAGCUGCUUCUUGAGAAAGUAUCAUCAUAUAUGCUAAAACUGAAAGUAACCUCAGAAUGUCAAAACUAGGAUCUCACACUGUAGACUAUAGAAGAGACUAUAUAACUCUAGCCAAGCCAACUCAGAGUUAUAGCAUCUCAGGGAUUGGAAAAGACCUCAGAGGGCUUCUUGGCUAACCUCUGCAUAAAAUUCAUUGUAUAGCAUACCCAUGAAAAGUCAUCUACUCAUUUCUUAAAGACCUCAAGCAAUGGGAAACCCACUUCUCCUUAAAGCUAUUCCUCUUUGAAAGCUCUAUUGGUUAGGAAGCUAUUAUCUUUAUGCAGAACUUGGAGUAGAGAGCCCAGAUCUCUGGUUCUCUGCUCUUAUUCAAAUCAUUAUUGCUGAGCAGAUUCAGAGACUUGAGUGCAAGGGGAAACUUAAAGAGCAGUCAAUCAGCAGGUGGUCUAGACUGUAACACUUUAAUGCCACAAGGGCAUUGUAAUUAGAAAAAUUUGUUAACCUUUCAUACAUGGAUUAGGUGGAGUUUUCUAAAUUGGUUAUGAUCCCCAGCACCUUAUAUUUCUUGCCUAAACAUAGUUGGCCAAACCAGUAUUGAAUACGUAGGAACUUUCCAGCAUCAAACAUGGAGUCACUUCUAUCUGCCUAGCUAGCCUAACAAUAGGCCAAUUCUCAUUUCUUCUAUCAUAAAAAAUUUAUAAGACAUGAAUGAUUCAAGUAAACAUAAAACAUCUUGACUGACUAUUUUACUCAUACUCCCUACAGAAAUAAAACAACUUUGUGGAACUGCUGAGUAGAUAUUUUGCAAUCCUCUUCACAUUCAUCUUAGAGCCACACUAUCCAAGCAAUUCAAAGAUCCUGACCUCCUAGCCUUCUUUCUUUAAUGUUCAGCUGCAGGAUCUACCUAGUAGCAGCCAUUUUCAACUCUUAUAAGUAAUAUUGUGAAAAUUUUCCUUCCACUUGGUGGUCAGGACCUAAUUUAGAGUCUUUUGAACUCUCAAACCUAGGAGGAAAAAUAAAUUUCCCAGGAUCUCUGGUUGUUGGCCUGAAGUCAGGGAAGAAAACAAAGUAGAGGGAGGUGGACAGAUACUAAGGCUUGUCAAGGCAAGCACUCAUUUCCACUCCAUCCAGUUGCUACUGGAUGAUGAAAGGGAAUAGGAAACUCUUCUUAUCCUUGGUAGAAGUUCAAGGGAAAGAAAGUACUGUGUUGGGAGAAUCCCAAAGAGAAGGGGCCAAAAAAGAAAAGAGCCAUUCCCAGAUCUCUUCUUACAGACUAAUAACAAGAGAGUUCUUCCACAAGAAUCUGGUCCUCCUGGCACUCAGUGUGGUAUGGCAUCUUCAACAUAGCCAUUAAUUACAGGGACCAACUAGAAGCUUCUAUGUCAUCUCAAUUUAAUAUGUGUCCAGCUCUAUGUACCUUGAAUUUCAUCAAAUAGAGUAGAGGAUGCUUGAUUUCCCUUGAUCAAACUCCACUUCAAAAAUCUGAAGAGAGAUCCUCUACAAAGAGUCUGGGAGGGAUAGUGUGGGAGACUUGAGAGAAAAGAUUUAGAACGACUGCUCAGGAGAAGUAAAAGUACUACCUGACUGUUUCAAGGGCCUUUUGAGGAUUAGAUGAUAUACAUCAACAAAGGUUUGUGAUUUCCUCUUUCACCAUUUGACAUCAUACAAGUAGGAACAGAGAAGGCAGGUUGUUGGAAUAAUCAAGAGUUAGGGUUUGGCAAGACAUUAAUGUCAAAACAAAAAUGAGAAAUGAUUCAACAGUAAUGUUGAACUGAUUAACUACAGGGCUAAAAUUGGGAAGGAAAAAUAUUGAGGCCAGAGCAAGGGAGAGUACUGGGAUGGUAGAGGGGAUCAGAAGCCAAAGUAGCAAUGAAUAAUAGAUUUAGGAGAAAUGAGGCACAGGGAGAAAAGGAAUGCUGGGAGACUGUGGUAAGAUAAAAGAAUUUCAGAAUUCUUGAUCAUACAAGUGGAAUACUUGUUAAAGCUUAACUUUAACAAGUUAAAUGUUUUAAAAUACUUGUCAAAAUGUUUGUUGAAGCUCCCUAAUAUAGGGCAGGGCCUAGGUGUAUAAUCCUGGAUCUUGGAAGUGGAA